GAUGAAGAACGUAGCGAAAUGCGAUAAGUAAUGUGAAUUGCAGAAUUCAGUGAAUCAUCGAAUCUUUGAACGCACAUUGCGCCCGCCAGCAUUCUGGCGGGCAUGCCUGUUCGAGCGUCAUUUCAACCCUCGAGCCCCCCCGGGGGCCUCGGUGUUGGGGGACGGCACACCAGCCGCCCCCGAAAUGCAGUGGCGACCCCGCCGCAGCCUCCCCUGCGUAGUAGCACACACCUCGCACCGGAGCGCGGAGGCGGUCACGCCGUAAAACGCUCAACUUUCUUAGAGUUGACCUCGGAUCAGGUAGGAAUACCCGCUGAACUUAAGCAUAUCAAUAAGCGGAGGA
rnacentral:misc_RNA from 1 species